UACGUAGGGUGUGAGCGUUGUCCGGAAUUAUUGGGCGUAAAGGGCUCGUAGGCGGUCUGUCGCGUCGGGAGUGAAAACUCGGGGCUUAACUCCGAGCCUGCUUCUGAUACGGGCAGACUAGAGGUAUGCAGGGGAGAAUGGAAUUCCUGGUGUAGCGGUGAAAUGCGCAGAUAUCAGGAGGAACACCGGUGGCGAAGGCGGUUCUCUGGGCAUGACCUGACGCUGAGGAGCGAAAGUGUGGGGAGCGAACAGG
rnacentral:rRNA from 1 species